GAAAAGGACUGUCUUAAUAUAAUGGACGUGAGGAAAGACGCGAAGCGUCGUAUUUUGGUUCGAAGUUGAUGGUGUCGACAGAUAGACGAGAGAGGUGUUCCCCCGAUAUUGGAAAAAUACUGGAGGAAAGAAGGAGGAAUCGUCGCAUAUCCUCGAUAGUCGUCAACACGGCACUCAAUCUGUUGUCUACGUGGAUUCAACUCAAGGAAAUGGCCGUGUCGACAAGGCACUGGGAAUGCUUUACUGUCUAGUCGAAUGAAAUGAACUUACCGAUUAACGGCGAGAAGCUGGUCAGGCAUUCACUAAACUGAUGAAGUCGGGUCUGGUAGUAAGCAACAACGUUCGUCAUCUGCGGAUAUUUCAUGAAAACAAAAAAUGCAAGAGAAAAAAAAGAGACUUACAUAGCCGUUGUUGUGGACCGAUAUGGGUUCAUUUUCUCCCCGAUUUUGACCGGAAUCGCUGCCGUUGCCACCCGACGUGGAAGGAUCUCGUGAGGAUGACAACAUAUCUUCUAGUGAUUCGAUAUAUUCGAUGGCAUUGCGAAGAAUCUCCACUUUAGGCAGCCGUUGACCCGGAUUGUUGCUUGUGCGACGCUUCAACGAUUCAAAGGCUUCAUUGACCUACCGCGAUGCAAUACAGCCAAUCAGUUUAGAGAUACCCUUUGUUAUUGAGCAUGGCGCCGUCGCUCCCUCAUCGUGGCAGCUUUACGCCGGUCGACCGUGACAUUCUUCUUUUUGCAAGCCUUGCAAGCCCAAAGUAGACAACGACGUCCUUGAUGUCCAUCCAAAUGAUGUUGGGCAUUGUGAUCUACCG